CGGAAAUAUUUGAAAAAAAUUGUUACUUGUAUAUAUAUUAUAGCAGUGACAAAUAUAAUUGAAAUCAUAAAUGUUUUUAGUGUCGAAUGUUUUCCCUAGUGGCCGCUGCUACAGUAGCGCCAUUAUUUUCCUUAUAUUCAGGGUGUGUUUUCACAGAUUCUUCAUUCUACUGCAAUUCGUCCUAAGGUGAACAUCCGAGGUUAAUAGCUGCAGCGUGUGUGACAUUGAAGUGAAAGCUUGUGUUUUCUUCCUGAACACCUUUUAAUGUUAUAAUCAUCAUUAAGAAUAAUAAUAUAAUAAACCAAAUCAGAAGUUUUUAUCAAACUACAAUUUCAAAAGGAGUCAAUACAGUGGAAAGUACUUUAGCUGCUAUUUACCAGUAUCGAUCCGGCAAACAGUUUUCCGUGAAUAAGCUAUAGUUUACAGCGGCGCCUACUAUACUUCAACAAAAACGUUAAAAGUUAAGAGUCACCGUCACCGUCGCCGAGAUGGCGUUCAUGAUGCCUGUAGUCAAGAACGAUUGGGACAUUUACAACUCGCAGCGAUCGCGACGGACUUCGGAGUCUGCGGACAAGGCGGGGAUCGGAGGUCGGGUGCGGAAAGUGUCAGAAUCAAGAUCGGAGGGGCCCGUUCUAUCACCGCGAACAGCCGCCGCGCUCAGCCCACACCGGAGCGCCCCUGCGAUGCGCUCGCUAUCUUACUGUCGGGUACCACCGUCACGGGCGUCGUUACGAGUGCACGAAAGCCGAAAGGACUCGGGUAGCCCGUCCAGCGGAGCGCGGGACAGCGACAAGUUUCACAGCAGGUUGGUGAAGAAGUUGCGGCGAGCGUUCGGUCGCUCGGAGACCCGGAACGACGAGAGGAGCUCGUGAGUUAACCGGGCGUGCUUGUGUGCAGGGCGUGCGCCGGCUCCCCCGAGCGACACUCGCGCUGCGGCGCCUGCAUGCCCUACCUGUGACGAGGCCGGCCCCGGGGGCUCGCGCUCGCGCCCUCGCCGACACACCAUCUGUGAUAUGUACGCGGUAGAGCAUACCAGUUGAGUACGUUUGAAUGUGUUAACCGAGGAUGGGACUGGAACCUUAACGUUUGAACAUCCCAAUGCAAUAGCAAUAUAGUCGUCAUCCAUUAGAUUCGCUUUGACGGUUGCAUGUUUGUUUAGUAUUAUGUUCACCUUCGAGUAUUAAAGGGUUGUUAGGAGAGAGGUUGUAACGGGGCUGUAUGAUGAAUGUUUAAGACUGCGAUUAGCUUAAGUUGGAAUACCGGUAACGUCUAUUAGGCUAUUACGAAAAGCUAAUACCGUUUGCCCAGUAGUUCUGGCAGUUCGCGAUGGGUAUCUGUGAUUUGUUAACUAUAACUAUAAGUUACGGAGUUAUUUAUUUUAAAUGAAAAGAAGUACCUUAUUAUUUAAUUUUUUAAGUGUGGACGCCGUAUUAAUAGAAAUAUCAAAGACGCGAGCAAAUUGAAAGUAUUUUACUAAAAUUUGCAAUUUUUUUAACUUAUUACUAAAUACAUGUAUGUUGGUUUCAGAACUGAGUUUACUAUUCUCUGCUCUACAUUUUAACUUCAAGAUGUAUACCUGCGUUAAACUUUUACAAUAUAGUUAUUUAAUACUUAUAUGUUAGAUAUAAUAUUAAUAUUAGCUACCUAUUGAACAUGGGCUCGUCCCGAUUACUGUAUUACGUAUGGUAAAGUAUUUUUUUUUUGUUAAAUAAUGCAUGAUUUUAUGUGAUAUUAAAAUGACUGUGUAAAUGGACCAUAUUAAAUUUUAAAUAUUCAGUGAAACUGAACACAAAUGACUUAUAGUGAUUGUAUUUUAAACUUUUAGCCAUUAAUAAGCAAAUAUCAUACCUACUUACUUAGAUUUCUUUGCAUAUAAAAUUAAGUUCCUUUUUUAUAAUAAAAGAACUGCCGUAUUUAUUUAAGUUACUGAGUUUUCGUCUAAAUAAUGUAAUCGUUAAAUACAGUGUUUGAAUGUACAUAUUUGCAUGUAAUCUGCAUUGUCUGAUCUGAUGGUUUUUUUAAAAUAUAUUGCUUAUCCUAAUAAUAAAAAAAAAAAAAAAAAAAAAAAAAAAAAAAAAAAAAAAAUACAGUCGAAUUGAGAACCUCCUCCUUUUUUG
rnacentral:misc_RNA from 1 species